rnacentral:rRNA from 1 species
GAUGAACGCUGGCGGCGUGCUUAACACAUGCAAGUCGAACGGAAAGGCCCUGCUUUUGUGGGGUGCUCGAUUGGCGAACGGGUGAGUAACACGUGUGUAACCUGCCCUUGACUUUGGGAUAACUUCAGGAAACUGGGGCUAAUAUCGGAUAGGAGCUCCUGCUGCAUGGUGGGGGUUGGAAAGUUUCGGCGGUUGGGGAUGGACUCGCGGCUUACCAGCUUGUUGGUGGGGUAGUUGCUUACCAAGGCUUUGACGGGUAGCCGGCCUGGGAGGGUGACCGGGCACAAUGGGACUAAGGGACGGCCCAGACGCGUACGUGAGGCAACGGUGGGAAGUAUUGCACAGUGGGCGGGAGCCUGAGGCAGCGGCGCCGCGUGCGGGAUGACGGCCUUCGGGGUAUGAACCGCUGUCGCCUGUGACGAAGCGGGAGUGACGGUAAUGAGUAAAGAAGCACCGGCUAACUACGUG